UUGUUGUGAAUUCUUCACGAGAGAAUGUUGACGCUUUUAUUUUGAAAUUUUAUUUUGACAGCGCAUGUUUCCGCUUCCGGUACCGCGAAUAAUACACGCUACGCGACACGGACAGUAGAUCCGUUACAUUGAGUCAUUGAUGAUAAACUCCAUCUUUACGUUCAACUUCCUGUCCACUAUGUAAUUCCUUCUGUCAAUUGAUCUGUGAGCCUGCAUAAACGGAUAAAUACAGAAGGAUAUUCACCAACCUGAUGUCUGCGUGUUCUCUGACCGGAACCCUGUAGUGGUCAAUGUCCUACAACAAUUCAGCAUCUCAGGGGGCAAAUCCCCAACAAUAUUGUUCCCCUCUGUUAUUAAAGUCAUUUUUUCGCAGUCGGCUGGGCCUCACCCUUCCCCUCACUCACUCACCCCAUCACCCAACUGACCGACCGGCUGGGCCUCACCCAUCUCCAUAGUCACCCCCACACUCACUCACCUGACCAACCAGCUAGGCCUCACUCAACCCCACACUCACCCUCUCAUUCAUCUGACCGACCAGCUGUUCUCUUGUUUUAGUUAACAAUAUUAAUAUUGUGGUUGAACCUAAAUGCUAAAAUGGUUCAGGUACAGUGAUUCCACACAUCAUAGCCCUUUUGAACUUGAGACUUGGUUUUGAGUAAGCUAGAGCUAUAUUGCAGUUGAUUGUGUUUGACGUUUAAAGUGUUUGUUGAAAAAAUGUAACUAUACUCUCAAAGGAAGGUAUCGAUGCCAUUUGUUCAGAACUAUAAUCCAAACUGGAAAUGACUCAUGGAAUCUAAACCCAUUGUAAUCAUUAGGUGAAAUUGAAUCUUUUGAGUGGCAGCCCAAUUAUUGUUAUCACUUUGUAGCAACAUGAAUAACAGGUAAACGAGGUGAUUUAUGAAAUGUUGAUUAAAUGUGUCUGACCCUUUAGGAAAAGUGUGGAACCUGCUCACAGUGAUACAAAAUCGAUCGCGUGCCAUCGAUUAAAAAAAGCCGUCACGCCACACAUGCGCACAUUAGAAACUAAUGCUAAUUAGCGAGUCUUGCUUACUAACGGAGGCAUUCGAUUUCAUUCCAAAGCAACCCAGGCUGACUCCAGUAGGGUAAUGACCAAGAAUGUGACGGUUUCCUCCUUCUGACAGAUGAAAGGCUUCUUGUUUUCUACAUAUCGACUCGUUGGAGCGCGGUCGGUCCCCCUCCCCUCUCCUGCCAGCCGGCACGGAGGGAGGUUGAUCGCCAUGACCUGGUUAGUUGAAAAGUAGCUCGCAAGCCGGAAAAGUGUGGGCACCCCUGCUCCACAAGUCCUGUUAAAAUAAUUAACUUACUGUAACCCUGCGGCGGUUUUCAGAGGAUCUUCACUUAAUCAUAAUUGCGUUAAGCACAAGCUCACUUCUAUUUGUACUUAAAUUAACCAAAAGUUUUCAGUGAUUUAACAUACGCAUUUCAGCUUCAAUAAUACUAAUAGCACAGAUGCUUUUUACACAGGGUUGUCAUAUUAAAUUGCAAAAGGGCUAAUCUUGUUGGCAUGUAUAAUUGUAAAAAAGCAUAAUCUGAAAGUGGAAAAAAGAAGAGCAAAAUAUAAAUUCUUUGCUUUGAAAUAAGAAACGUUUUACUACUUUUUGGAAUAUUAUUAUCCCAGUGUUACCAUUGUAAUUGUAGCAAUAAAGCCUUGAAUAGGCCUACUUAAAAAAUAUUAUUAAUAUUGCAAUUGGUGUUCUUUGAGGGCUGGUUGGUAUGGCCAAAAAUCCAUAUCACAAGAUUCUGACGUGUAUCAAAGAUUUUUUUUGUUGUUGAGUAAACCCAUUCAUUCUUUGACGCCGAAAAGGACGCUAGCCAACUGAACAGGUUUUUACCACUGUUUUUUGUUGUUAGCUGCUAGCGUUAGCUGUUGUGGCUGCUAGGGUUGCCACCAGAGCCCAUACCAGCGGCUCGACCAAAUUUGCAAUAAACCGUUUUCUGAUCUAACUUGGGUGGGAAUUUUAAAAAUCAAAACAGACCCAGCUCCUCUCUUGGGCAAAGGUUGUGUUGGUGCAUCUCUGGUGUCUCAUUGUUCCUCCUGUAUCGCUCUUUUCCGUGUUUCCAUAUGGUGACAGUUUCUUCUUUUACUGAUAGAGGGCUGCGAGCUGUAGUUCGGUGGGGUAAUUUUAUGAAUGUACAAUUAUUAGUUUUACAAAUUGUUUGUGUCACGACAGUUUGUGUCAUGGUGUUUUACUCUCUUAAAGAGUGUUUGUUGUGGGUUAUUCAUUGAUGUUAUAAAGUUAUAAGCAUGACGCAAUCUCAAUCUGCACGGUCGGAGCUACUGCCGAAGACCAAAGUCAGUUACGGCUUGACACCGGUACGUGAAAAAUUCAUACUGUAAGGAAAUCUUAUUACGGUUGAAACGGAAUACUGCACAGCCCUAGGUUCUUCUCCCCCACAAUUCACAAGUACUCGCAUGAUGAACUCACCUAAUGUAAUGUGCUUUGUUUGAACACAAACAAACUGUCUUCUGUUGGCGACAUAAUUUAUAUGAAUGCCAUAUUUAUGCAGCUUUUCCAAUAGAUUAUUUUGUCACUAUAGAAAGAAGGGUCUAUAGUAGGGCUGUAAAUAGAUUAAAAUAAAUGAACAAAUUAAUUAAUCGUGAUUAAUCACGAUUAAUGAUUUAGCUGGCUCACAUCCCCUGACGUUAUGUCAUCACUUAUUUGACAGAUAAUUAGAAGAUAAUCAUUAUAUCCAAAUAGGGGCUGGACUUCUGUGAAUUGGAUCGAAAUUAAAAUUCAAACUGGUUUCAAUGAA